GGCUCAGAGUGAACGCUGGCGGUAGGCCUAACACAUGCAAGUCGAACGGCAGCACAGUAAGAGCUUGCUCUUAUGGGUGGCGAGUGGCGGACGGGUGAGGAAUACAUCGGAAUCUACCUUUUCGUGGGGGAUAACGUAGGGAAACUUACGCUAAUACCGCAUACGACCUUCGGGUGAAAGCAGGGGACCUUCGGGCCUUGCGCGGAUAGAUGAGCCGAUGUCGGAUUAGCUAGUUGGCGGGGUAAAGGCCCACCAAGGCGACGAUCCGUAGCUGGUCUGAGAGGAUGAUCAGCCACACUGGAACUGAGACACGGUCCAGACUCCUACGGGAGGCAGCAGUGGGGAAUAUUGGACAAUGGGCGCAAGCCUGAUCCAGCCAUACCGCGUGGGUGAAGAAGGCCUUCGGGUUGUAAAGCCCUUUUGUUGGGAAAGAAAAGCAGUCGGCUAAUACCCGGUUGUUCUGACGGUACCCAAAGAAUAAGCACCGGCUAACUUCGUGCCAGCAGCCGCGGUAAUACGAAGGGUGCAAGCGUUACUCGGAAUUACUGGGCGUAAAGCGUGCGUAGGUGGUUGUUUAAGUCUGUUGUGAAAGCCCUGGGCUCAACCUGGGAAUUGCAGUGGAUACUGGGCGACUAGAGUGUGGUAGAGGGUAGUGGAAUUCCCGGUGUAGCAGUGAAAUGCGUAGAGAUCGGGAGGAACAUCCAUGGCGAAGGCAGCUACCUGGACCAACACUGACACUGAGGCACGAA
rnacentral:rRNA from 1 species